UCUCUCUUUUUCGCACGCAGAAACCAAACAAAUAUCAGCAACACAGUCAACGCGAAUACCCACCCACCCCCACGUAACGCAAUUUUACAUGUUUGCCACACGCAAUGUAACGCUUCGCUGAAUACCCCCCCACCCCUGAGCGCGUUAUGUAUUAUUUGAAUGAGCCCUAAGUGUGUGCUGCAGUUGUGAAGGAACGAAACGCGAAGAAUGUGUGCAUAAAAACAUCGGAAACGUCCGCUUGUUCGAAUAACUUCUGUUUUUUUUACAUUGAUUUUGUAACAUAUUGAUCAAGCUAUUUGAGUGGUCAGAUCCAUAUUCUUAAAUCAUGGAUGAGACGGUAAUGCUAAUUCUUUUUGUAAUGCUAGUUGGUUCCUGUAUAGCUGGAAGUUGUUGGUGGGAACAGCCCUUACAGUCAUAAUACCAGAAGGAAUUCGUUACUUGUACGAUGGAAGCUCGGAUGGAAGCAAUCUUGAAGUUAAAUACGUGGGCACCUCUCUAACACCGGAUAAUAAACACUGCGCUGAUUUAUCCACAUUUGGGCUCUCCCUAGUGCUGGGCUUUGUCUCCAUGAUACUUGUACUGAGUUGUAGCUUUUUUACGCGAAGUAAUCCGAAAGAUGGUAAUAAUAUAAAAUAUUAAUAAUUAGGUAACUUGAUAGGAAAUAAAUCUACAACAUUUUAACGA